rnacentral:rRNA from 1 species
GAUGAACGCUGGCGGCGUGCCUAAUACAUGCAAGUCGAGCGAACGGACGAGAAGCUUGCUUCUCUGAUGUUAGCGGCGGACGGGUGAGUAGCACGUGGAUAACCUACCUAUAAGACUGGGAUAACUUCGGGAAACCGGAGCUAAUACCGGAUGAUAUUUUGAACCGCAUGGUUCAAAAGUGAAAGACGGUCUUGCUGUCACUUAUAGAUGGAUCCGCGCUGCAUUAGCUAGUUGGUAAGGUAACGGCUUACCAAGGCAACGAUGCAUAGCCGACCUGAGAGGGUGAUCGGCCACACUGGAACUGAGACACGGUCCAGACUCCUACGGGAGGCAGCAGUAGGGAAUCUUCCGCAAUGGGCGAAAGCCUGACGGAGCAACGCCGCGUGAGUGAUGAAGGUCUUCGGAUCGUAAAACUCUGUUAUUAGGGAAGAACAUAUGUGUAAGUAACUGUGCACAUCUUGACGGUACCUAACCAGAAAGCCACGGCUAACUACGUG